UCUAGCUUUAAGUCUCCUUUGUUACCUCUGGCAAGGUGACCAUCCUCUUCUCCAGCCGCACCAUUCAUUAUCCUGUCAGAAGCUUCAGGGUCCCACCACCACUCUCAGAACCCUGGCCAUAAUGAAUUAAUCAGUAAUCCCCAAAACUCAUCUCGUCACGCCCAAGAAUGUGUCUACAUGUCUUUGGGUCCAGACUGUGCCUACAGGCAGAGUUGCUCUCAACAUGUGCACACACAACAAAAUUGUAUCAGUUUGACCCAUUUUUGUGGGACGAAGAGUUUUAUUUAAAACUGGCGUUUCUACUUAUUUGAAGACCAUCCUCAAAUGCCGAA